GAUGAACGCUGGCGGCGUGCUUAACACAUGCAAGUCGAACGAAGCACUUUAUUUUAUUUCCUUCGGGACUGAUUAUUUUGUGACUGAGUGGCGGACGGGUGAGUAACGCGUGGGUAACCUGCCCUGUACAGGGGGAUAACAGCUGGAAACGGCUGCUAAUACCGCAUAAGCGCACGGCAUCGCAUGAUGCAGUGUGAAAAACUCCGGUGGUAUAAGAUGGACCCGCGUUGGAUUAGCUAGUUGGUGAGGUAACGGCCCACCAAGGCGACGAUCCAUAGCCGAGCUGAGAGGGUGACCGGCCACAUUGGGACUGAGAAGCGGCCCAAACUCCUACGGGAGGGAGCAGUGGGGAAUAUUGCACAAUGGGCGAAAGCCUGAUGCAGCGACGCCGCGUGAGCGAAGAAGUAUUUCGGUAUGUAAAGCUCUAUAAGCAGGGAAGAUAAUGACGGUACCUGACGAAGAAGCACCGGCUAAAUACGUG
rnacentral:rRNA from 1 species